AUCAACUCUACCAACUCCUGUUUUGGCACCUAGUCCCACCUUUGCUCCUGGGAUCAUGAAUGAAAGAGAUUCAUCUAAUUCCUGAAGAGAUGGCUCCUAUUCCUAUAAAAGCUCACCUGUGGACCCAGUCUGCAGAAAAAGAAAACAAAAGAUUCAAAAUGUACCAUGGGUUACAUCGAUAUAAAUCUAAUUGGAUAAGUCCCAGUGUUGAUGAUGAGGAAACUGCAGAAAACAGAUUCUAUCCACAGACUAUAAACAGUGGAGUCUUGGUCUUCUAAGUUUAAGACCCAAAUCACUCAUUCUGGAAGAAGCCACCUGACUCAUUGUAGUAAUGCUGUGGAGAGACCCACGUGACAAGGAACCGAAAUCUGUGGCCAACAGCCAGCGAGGAACACAAGCCAGCUAGCAAACACUGGGGGAGCUUGGAAGUGGGUUCUCCGGGCCCAACAACAGACAGCUAAUAUAAGAAGAAAAGCAAGACAUGAAGUGGAGGAGAACAAAGACAGUCUGAAACCCUUAAGGAUAAGCUGGAACCAAAGGACAGACUGGAACUUGCAUGGGUCUUAUGCUCCUUCUAAGCCUUCAUCUUUGAUGAUGCAUGAUCUGCAGGAGAAACUGGGACCUUUCAUCACAAAGCUAAACAAGCACAUGACUCAGUUGCUGGAGAGGCUGAAGGAAGAUUCAGCAGGAGCUAGAGUGGCUACAGGCCUGGCUGCCACACUGUACCAUCAAG